rnacentral:rRNA from 1 species
CCUACGGGGGGCAGCAGUGAGGAAUAUUGGUCAAUGGACGAGAGUCUGAACCAGCCAAGUAGCGUGAAGGAUGACUGCCCUAUGGGUUGUAAACUUCUUUUAUAUGGGAAUAAAAUGUUCCACGUGUGGGCUUUUGUAUGUACCAUAUGAACAAGGUACGGCUAACUCCGUGCCAGCAGCCGCGGUAAUACGGAGGAUCCGAGCGUUAUGCGGAUUGAUUGGGUUUAAAGGGAGCGUAGGGGGAGCGUUAAGUCAGGUGUGAAAGUUAGCGGCUCAACCGUAAAAUUGCAGUUGAAACUGGCAGUCUAGAGUACAGUAGAGGUGGGCAGAAUUCGUGGUGUAGCGGUGAAAUGCUUAGAUAUCACGAAGAACUCCGAUGGCGAAGGCAGUUCACUGGACUGCAACUGACACUGAGGCUCGAAAGUGUGGGUAUCAAACAGGAUUAGAUACCCUGGUAGUC